GAUGAACGCUGGCGGCGUGCCUAAUACAUGCAAGUCGAGCGAACGGACGAGAAGCUUGCUUCUCUGAUGUUAGCGGCGGACGGGUGAGUAACACGUGGAUAACCUACCUAUAAGACUGGGAUAACUUCGGGAAACCGGAGCUAAUACCGGAUAAUAUUUUGAACCGCAUGGUUCAAAAGUGAAAGACGGUCUUGCUGUCACUUAUAGAUGGAUCCGCGCUGCAUUAGCUAGUUGGUAAGGUAACGGCUUACCAAGGCAACGAUGCAUAGCCGACCUGAGAGGGUGAUCGGGCACACUGGAAGUGAGACACGGUCCAGACGCCUACGGGAGGCAGCAGUAGGGAAUCGUCCGCAAUGGGCGAAAGCCUGACGGAGCAACGCCGCGUGAGUGAUGAAGGUCUUCGGAUCGUAAAACUCUGUUAUUAGGGAAGAACAUAUGUGUAAGUAACUGUGCACAUCUUGACGGUACCUAAUCAGAAAGCCACGGCUAACUACGUG
rnacentral:rRNA from 1 species